UACGGAGGAGGCAAGCGUUAUCCUGAAUUAUUGGGCGUAAAGCGUCCGCAGGUGGCACCUCAAGUCUGCUGUCAAAGACCGGGGCUUAACCCCAGAAAGGCAGUGGAAACUGAAGUGCUAGAGUGCAGUAGGGGUAGAGGGAAUUCCCGGUGUAGCGGUGAAAUGCGUAGAGAUCGGGAAGAACAUCGGUGGCGAAAGCGCUCUGCUGGACUGCAACUGACACUCAGGGACGAAAGCUAGGGGAGCGAAUGGG
rnacentral:rRNA from 1 species